rfam:Stegodyphus mimosarum contig48935, whole genome shotgun sequence.
GCCUUCGUGGUGUAGCGGUCAGCACGCCCGGCUCGUAUUCGAGAGGUCCAUGGUUCGAGUCUCGGCGAAAGCA